rnacentral:pre_miRNA from 1 species
UGAUUCAUUGCCUGGCUCUGCAAAUGCUUCCCUAAUGUUGCAGACUUGGCCAUGGGUAGGA